rnacentral:rRNA from 1 species
GUGAGGAAUAUUGCGCAAUGGAGGCAACUCUGACGCAGCCAUGCCGCGUGCAGGAAGAAGGCGCUACGCGUUGUAAACUGCUUUUAACCGGGAAGAAACCCCAGGACGUGUCCUGGGUUACGGUACCGGAGGAAUAAGCACCGGCUAACUUCGUGCCAGCAGCCGCGGUAAUACGAAGGGUGCAAGCGUUAUCCGGAUUCAUUGGGUUUAAAGGGUGCGUAGGCGGAGCGUUAAGUCAGUGGUGAAAUCCUGCAGCUUAACUGUAGACUUGCCAUUGAUACUGGCGCUCUUGAGUGCGCUUGAAGUGGGCGGAAUGUGCCGUGUAGCGGUGAAAUGCUUAGAUAUGGCACAGAACACCAAUUGCGAAGGCAGCUCACUAAGGCGAUACUGACGCUGAGGCACGAAAGCGUGGGGAUCGAACAGGAUUAGAUACCCUAGUAGUCC